GAUGAACGCUGGCGGCGUGCCUAAUACAUGCAAGUCGAGCGAACAGACGAGGAGCUUGCUCCUCUGACGUUAGCGGCGGACGUGUGAGUAACACGUGGAUAACCUACCUAUAAGACUGGGAUAACUUCGGGAAACCGGAGCUAAUACCGGAUAACAUGUUGAACCGCAUGGUUCAACAGUGAAAGACGGUCUUGCUGUCACUUCUAGAUGGAUCCGCGCCGCAUUAGCUAGUUGGUAAGGUAACGGCUUACCAAGGCAACGAUGCGUAGCCGACCUGAGAGGGGGAUAGGCCACACUGGAACUGAGACACGGUCAAGACUCCUACGGGAGGCAGCAGUAGGGAAUGUGCCGCAAUGGGCGAAAGCCUGACGGAGCAACGCCGCGUGAGUGAAGAAGGUCUUCGGAUCGUAAAACUCUGUUAUUAGGGAAGAACAAAUGUGGAAGUAACUAUGCACGUCGUGACGGUACCUAAUCAGAAAGCCACGGCUAACUACGUG
rnacentral:rRNA from 1 species